UAGGGCCCUUCCUAAGAAGGGACUCUCCACCCUCUACAGUGCCCUGGGCCUCCCUGCUGCCAGGCUGAGCCAGGCCAGGUCCCUGAGAAGCAGCCAUCUGGCUUCAAGGCUCUGCCACAGAACCGAAGCAGCCCUGUUGUGAGGGCACAACUGCCGAGGAAAUGCCCUGGGAGCCCAGGAUAAAUGUACACAGAAGAUGGCACGGCCCUCCCUCCUCCAGGACACAAGCCCAGCUCCUUCAACUAAUCCUGGGGUGGAGAAGCCAAGCACAGGCUGCCGAACCUCCCUGCUGGAGUGUGGAUCUGGAGCGUUCCGUGAAGACUAUGUAUGAAAGGUCUGGGCCCCAGAUGAUGGUGCUUCUGGGAGAUGGAGAUAUCUUUAGGGGCAUGGCCUAGUGGGAGGAGGUUAGGUCAUUGAGGGUGUGCCUUUGGGUGGAGUAAUGGGAUUGCCACUUUUUUCUCUCUCUUUCACUUCUGGCCAACAUGAGGUGAGUGGCUUCCUCCACCACAUGGUCCCACCAUGAUGAACUGCCUUACCACAGCCCAAGGCAACACAGCCAAGUGACCAGGGACUAAAGCCUCUGAAAUACCUGCCCGGGAUAUCAUGACAGGAGCAGAGGAGUUAUUUCCCACGUGAACUUGGAAAUGAGCCUUCCCAGAGAAGGCAGGUGUGGGCUGGCAGACACCAGCCAUUCUCUGUGUCCAGAGAACAAGCAGUCACAACCAGGCUCAGCCCCAAGACUACUUCACGGUGCACAGCUGCAGACUUUGGACCCAUCCGCCAAUGAUGGACCACAGAAUUCAUCUUGUGUUCCUGGUAAUGACAUAAACCCCUAAAGAUCAGCAGCCACAUAUCACACAUAGUAGGCCCUCAACAAACAUGAGGAUUUUCAGAUUAUGUCACAGUGUUUGGAUUCCACUGCUCCUUCUACCCUCUGUUGUUUCUAUGCAACUGUGGGAGAUCUCACCUAUGCCAGGAACCAGGAAUCAGUACCAUCCAAGAGUGGGGGGAUCAUUAAAGUCUGUCUUAGAAAAGCCUGGGGUUCACAUCUUGCUAUUUUCAUAAUUCAGCCCUUCCUCCUCUUGUGUUCACGAGCUAUUUCCCUUACCAAGGUUGCUCUCUGAGAGGCACUCACAGAGGGCAGGGCCAUCCUGGUCCUUUUGGGGAGGGGGUCUAUCAAGGUCACCCUCAGGCCUGAAUGAGGUCAACU